AAUACAUUACUUCAUAUUAGUUUAAAUGUGAACAUAAAUGCACAAUAAUAGUGUGAUAGUAUUUCCGAUUUAUUUGAAAUCGCCAGUCUAGCUAUGUUUAAACUAGUUUGUUUAGUACUUGGAAUAUGUUUUAUUGCAAGUGUUUGCAAGUUCAAAGUGGAAAGUCUCGGAUGUGAUUGCCUUCCGCAAGGACAUUGCGGCUUUAAGCCAGACACAGAAACAGUUGGAAAUCACUUUUGUUUUGGCUGCCCUGGCAGUUUUGAAUGUUGUUGUCCCACGAACACUAUACCGAAGCAAUAAGUAAAAUGAAGAAACUAAAAAGAAGAAUACGACAGGGAGAACUCCUUAGUAAAAAAAUCGAUAAAUUGAAAAUAAUUGUAUGCUAUUUUAAAAUAAUAUGAAAUCUGA